rnacentral:rRNA from 1 species
AUUGAACGCUGGCGGCAGGCCUAACACAUGCAAGUCGAACGGUAACAGGAAGCAGCUUGCUGCUUCGCUGACGAGUGGCGGACGGGUGAGAAAUGUCUGGGAAGCUGCCUGAUGGAGGGGGAUAACUACUGGAAACGGUAGCUAAUACCGCAUAAUGUCGCAAGACCAAAGAGGGGGACCUUCGGGCCUCUUGCCAUCGGAUGUGCCCAGAUGGGAUUAGCUUGUUGGUGGGGUAACGGCUCACCAAGGCGACGAUCCCUAGCUGGUCUGAGAGGAUGACCAGCCACACUGGAACUGAGACACGGUCCAGACUCCUACGGGAGGCAGCAGUGGGGAAUAUUGCACAAUGGGCGCAAGCCUGAUGCAGCCAUGCCGCGUGUAUGAAGAAGGCCUUCGGGUAGUAAAGUACUUUCAGCGGGGAGGAAGGGAUUAAAGUUAAUACCUUUGCUCAUUGACGGUACCCGCAGAAGAAGCACCGGCUAACUCCGUG